AUCAGGAAUGCAAGUACGAGUGAAGCAAGGAUGAGGAAUUCCCUACAACUUAGUUUGGCACAAGAAUCCGCGCUUUCAUUUUGGUUAUCUCUACUCUGACUGAAUUCUUCACGUUUCUUUGUAUUUUUAGAAGAUCUGGUUUUUUAUAUUACAAGGACCUGUUUUUGCUUUGGUGUUACAGGGGAGAGAGCUAUGAAUGUACAGUGGGAUUUGGAAGCUUUGAGCCUUUGGAUUCAACGGGUUAUUUCUUUCCUUGAGUGUUGUUUGUUAUGAAAUAGGGUGUCAUAGUAUAAUGUGGCAGUGCUUGUAUUUAUUUUUGUUUAGAAUUAUGAAAUCGAAUAUUAGCAUUGCAUUUCUUUCUUGGAUAAUAAAGAUAUAAGUCAAAUUUCUUCAAUGAGUUGCUCUUUACUA
rnacentral:lncRNA from 1 species